CUUUUUGUUCCCCGAGCUUCGCUCCACCGGAAAAAGAGGAGUGGCGAACGGGUGAUUAACACGCUGGGUAACCUGCCCAUCAUAAGGGGAUAACACUUGGAAACAGGUGCUAAUACCGUAUAACAAUCGAAACCGCAAGGUUUUGAUUUGAAAGGCGCUUUCGGGUGUCGCUGAUGGAUGGACCCGCGGUGCAUUAGCUAGUUGGUGAGGUAACGGCUCACCAAGGCGACGAUGCAUAGCCGACCUGAUAGGGUGAUCGGCCACAUUGGAACUGAAACACGGCCCAAACUCCUACGGGAGGCAGCAUGAGGGAAUCUUCGGCAAUGGACGAAAGUCUGACCGAGCAACGCCGCGUGAGUGAAGAAGGUUUUCGGAUCGUAAAACUCUGUUGGUAGAGAAGAACAAGGAUGAGAGUAACUGUUCAUCCCUUGACGGUAUCUAACCAGAAAGCCACGGCUAACUACGUGCCAGCAGCCGCGGUAAUACGUAGGUGGCAAGCGUUGUCCGGAUUUAUUGGGCGUAAAGCGAGCGCAGGCGGUUUCUUAAGUCUGAUGUGAAAGCCCCCGGCUCAACCGGGGAGGGUCAUUGGAAACUGGGAGACUUGAGUGCACAAGAGGAGAGUGGAAUUCCAUGUGUAGCGGUGAAAUGCGUAGAUAUAUGGAGGAACACCACUGGCGAAGGCGGCUCUCUGGUCUGUAACUGACGCUGAGGCUCGAAAGCGUGGGGAGCAAACAGGAUUAGAUACCCUGGUAGUCCACGCCGUAAACGAUGACUGCUAAGUGUUGGAGGGUUUCCGCCCUUCAGUGCUGCAGCUAACGCAUUAAGCACUCCGCCUGGGGAGUACGACCGCAAGGUUGAAACUCAAAGGAAUUGACGGGGGCCCCGCACAAGCGGUGGAGCAUGUGGUUUAAUUCGAAGCAACGCGAAGAACCUUACCAGGUCUUGACAUCCUUUGACCACUCUAGAGAUAGAGCUUCCCCUUCGGGGGCAAAGUGACAGGUGGUGCAUGGUUGUCGUCAGCUCGUGUCGUGAGAUGUUGGGUUAAGUCCCGCAACGAGCGCAACCCUUAUUGUUAGUUGCCAUCAUUUAGUUGGGCACUCUAGCAAGACUGCCGGUGACAAACCGGAGGAAGGUGGGGAUGACGUCAAAUCAUCAUGCCCCUUAUGACCUGGGCUACACACGUGCUACAAUGGGAAGUACAACGAGUCGCAAAGUCGCGAGGUCUAAGCUAAUCCUCUUAAAGCUUCUUUUCUAGUUCGGGAUUGUAGGUCUGCAAACUUUUGGCACUUG
rnacentral:rRNA from 1 species